rnacentral:lncRNA from 1 species
GGUAAUCAGGAUGGCAGUGAGGCAGGCACUUGCUUGCAGAAGAACAGGCCUAGUUUUUUAAGAAGCCACAAAAGUGUCUUUGGAUGAUUAGGAUCUAAGGGGCCAACAGCUUUGCAAUAACAGCAUAAAUAUUGUGGGCUGGAUGGACAGGCACCAAAUGGGGACAUUCCAUCCUGCUGUGUGAUGAGAAAGCUGCCACUUUUGAGGCCUUCCAAAACAAAUCAACACUCCAUAUGCCAGAAGGAAAAGCCCAGGAAAGACCUAUUCCAACUGGAGAUGGAAUACGAAGGGAGAAUGAAACAAAACUGCUCCGCUUAGGGAACUUGGAAAGGAAAUUGAAAAGGCAAGGCACAGGCUGGAAGAAAAUAUUUGAAAAAGAUUUAUGUGAACUUCUUUCUGGAUUAUACAAAAUAUUUUUAGAUAUUCUUACAACUCUAAAAUAAGAUAACUCCUUAAAAAUCUAAAUUCUACCAAAGGAGAGAUAAAGAUGACGAAUACAUUCAAAGAUGCUGAAAAUCACUUAUUUAUUAUUAGGAAGUUACAAGCUAAAGCAUAAUGAGAUACCACUACAACCUACUAAACUGACUAAAAUUAAUCAGACUAACCAGGUGUUGGCAAGAAACAGGGACACUGAGACUCUCACACUGCUGGAAGGAAUGUAAAAUGCUAAAACUUCUUUGGAAAUGAGUUCAGUAACUUUUUAAACAGUUGAAAAUAGACCUAUCAUGCAAACCAGCAAUCCCACUUCCAGGUAUUUAUACAAGGAAAAUGACAACAUAUGCCCACAUAAAGACUUGUGCACAAAUGACCGUAGCAGCUUUGUGAUAAUUGCUAAAAACUAGAAACUUGUCAAGUGUCCAACAGUUGACAUGCAGGCUGGACAUACAGUGGGCCUCGAUUGCUUAGAAGCCAAACUGAACUCACCAAGAAAAGAAGACAGGAGAAACUUCUCAAGAGGAAUAUCUCCAAAUUGCAGGAUCGAAUACCAUAAGAGGAAUUCUGGACUGAAGAGUUAUGAAGUCAUUUCAGACACUUCCAGACAAUUUGUGUUAAUUAAAUUCUCACUGGUUGAGUUCCAUUCUACACUGGAAGAGCAUUUUUCCUGGAAAGGCUCCUCAAAAUGGACACCAUCAAGAGUCACCUCCUCAGUGAAGCCUUCCAUGGUUUCAUACCACCCAUCCCUAUCGGAAUGAAUGUAUCCUUGUUCUCCGUUAUCCCAGUAUUUUGCCUGGGCUUCUGUCACACUACUUUCAAUGUCUAUACCUCAGUUAUCGAAUCGAAAAACAAGAGUCAUCAGUCUCUAAGGUCCUUGCAAGCUUCAAAACUUUAUAUUUUUGUCAAUUACAACUGAAUAAAGCUGAACAACUUAUUAUUUAUGGAUACUUGCUCAAGCACCAUAUAACUCUUUCAGAUAUUUUAAAAGAAUAUGUUUGCAAAAGACUCCAAAUCAAUGUAUUAAAUUGAAAUCCAGUAUCAAAACACCCAUUAAAGUGCU